rnacentral:lncRNA from 1 species
GGAAGACUGGAAGAGAGAUACGUGAUGGACUGACGUCAUUUUGAUUUUCUGUCCAAUGCUCUUGCAGGUCUUGGUGAUUUACUUGAAUAGUGAAGAUGGUCGGAAGCAUUGAUGCUGCGAAUGGAUUGGGAAUUAUGCACUCUGUUCAGAAUUUCAAUGAUUUGGGACUGCAUUGGCGAAAAUUUAAUAAGCAUGAUGUUCUUGAAGUUUAUGUUUAAUAUAACAAUAUAUACAUGAGUUGGUUAUUUUUAGCUUAUGCUUCAUAUGAUAGGU